rnacentral:lncRNA from 1 species
AUGACACGCAGUAGUGCACCCCCGAUUCUAGCUCCCAUGCCGAUUAACGUUAUGUUGCACUGCCACCUUCAGGCCAACAUCUGUAACAAUAUCAGAAGCAAAGCUGGUUUAAAGUAUUGUGGAGCGAAAUACUAUUUCAAACCUCAAGCCUUAGAAAAAGAUGAUGUCAUGGAUAGGAACAACCUCGUUUUCUCUUUUUUACAGUGUGCAGGCUGUGUACUGCUCAAUGAGGAAUCAAGUGUUAUUCAGGAAGGCUAUGCGGGUCAGUCAGGCCUCAAAGGAGAGAAGGGAGACAGGGGUUUGGACUGUACUGGUGCUGGAGUUCCUGGACGAUGCUUAGAAGGUGCUAAAGGGAAGAAAGGAGAGAAGGGAGAGUCGGGUCUAGCUGGCAACUGGGGAGAAGCUAUAGGAGUGAAGGGUGACAAAGGGCAAAAAGGAGAAAUCGGAGCCCCAGGUCUGCCCGGAAGUCCAGGCAAAGACGUAAGUGACUAG